AAGCCACAGUUCCCUUUCAAGGAAAUGACACAAUCUGCUUAUGAUUUUUUAAUGGCCUGAAUGAACACCUGGAUUUCUGCUUAAUCUCUUCACCUGUGCUGUGCAGAUGAAUAUCUGGAAGCCCAAAGAUCUGAAGUGACUAAUUUCAGACUGCAUAAGAAAUAAGUGGCAGCAGCAGGAUUCAAAUCCUCUGAAGUCCUCUGACUUCAAAACCAGUAAAUUCUCUUAUAGUUUGGGAGGAACAGUAGCUAUCUGAACUGAGGAAAGGAAGAUGAUCUAUGUAUAUAAGCCAAAAUCCUGUUGAAAUUAAUUGAUGCUUCUGCAGUGAAGGCGAGAAACUCACUGGGAAAAUUAGAUCCUUAGUCUUGGAAGGCAGGUGAUCUCAGGGUAGAAGAAUGAAGAUCCAUUUUUCUGAUUAACAAGAAUUUUAAGAACAAGAAAAAGGGAGAAAGGAGGAAAGGAAAGAGCACCAAAGCCAGUAGAAGCUGGAGAAAGUUCAGCCUAUAAAAAGAAAAGAUAAAGACUACUUGUAGAAGGAGAAAGAGGCCAUUACACCAAUAAUCCUGGGUGCCCUUCUGAAUGAAAAUUCCUUUCCAGCAAACCAGAAGCUCUGUGAGACCAAGAAUAGGGCCUAUUUAAUCUUUGUAUUUGCCUCAGCAUCCUUGUAUAUAGUAUUUUAAAAUACCAGACAUGUAAUAAAUAUUUGUCAAAAUGAAACAAAAUUUAACCAAUUUUAAAAUGAAGUAUUUAAUAACAAGUGUCAAAAAAGUAUGUAAUAAUUGUCUGUAAGUCUUCAGUCUUGAAAAAAUCUAAAAGAAUUUUAAAAGCAAACAGUUCAUCUCCUUGUUGCAUCUUCUAAAUCCUUGUUGCCAUUCUGUUUUUACUGAUAAUCUUUAAAACAUAAUUAACUCACCAGGCA